GGGGCUAUGGCUCAGUUGGUAGAGUGCUUGCUUUGCAUGCACAAGGCCCUGGGUUCAAUCCCCAGUACCCCCC